GCGGGUGUAGCCAAGUGGUUAAGGCAGAGGUUUGUGGUACCUCCACUCGUGGGUUCAAGUCCCAUCAUCCGCC
rnacentral:tRNA from 2 species